CCUGUUUGACUAAAGGGAUGGGAGUGGUGGAAGAGGCAGGGUGGGCUACAGACCUGGGUCCGGGGAAAGGGGUGGAAGGAAGCUUGUUGACCGCUAAAGGUUAGUCUCUGAGCAGCUCAGGGCCAGGACCCUGCGCAGCGCAUGCGCCGGAAGCACACUGCGGAGUUCUGGAAGAGGCUCCCCUUCUCUGCCGUUGGUGCUGUGGCUGCAGGCACAGCUUGUCCCCUGCCUGCUGUCAGCUGUUGCUCAGGCCUGCUGCUGCCAUCCAAGCGUCUCUCUCUUCCGCUGCUCUCUUCACCCUGUUUUGAGACGGUCGGCUUUUAAGAAUUGUUUCAACGCUUGAUUCAGCGAGGAGGUGAUGCCAAAUGCCAUCAGAAACCCUGGCAAUGAUAAAGUGGAAUGUUGAGCUCUGCCUGGUCCAGAGAAUUGGGAGAGGCUCAAAUCAGCAUUCUGCACAUGGCUAUCAAACUAUUGUGAAGUCUUGGCUAGAUUAUGAAGGAUAUCUUUGAAAAGUAUUUGAGAAUCUACCAGAUCUUCCAUAUGAUAAUCAAUUUAUUAAAAUAGUUGACUUAGGUAUCUGAAAUGGUGACUUCAACCUCAACUCCUGGUUCAAUACUGAUGGAAAUAGUCUGUUUAACAAUCUCAGAAGGACUGUGCAAAUUAGUGAGUCGCUGUGGAUUCUCAUCUGGAAAUGAUCCCAAGUUUUAGAACCUUCACCACAAGGUGUUUUUCUUGUAGUGAUUCUCAAAGUCUUGGUAGGUAUCCUAACUCUCCUUUCACCUUGAGAUUUUUUUCCUUUGUACCUCUGAUUAAGUCAGCACACACUUUCUCCAGGGACUUUAUGAGGGCUAGUUCAAAGUAAUUCUCAUUUGGUGAAUGGCCACCUCUGGCUCCAGGGCUGUUUUUCCAAUAUCUUUAAAAGCCGUGGCUGAGGCGCGGCUUCCUGACCAACGUGUUCCUUGGUGAGAGCCAGCAGUGGUGAAUCAGGAGCAGAGCCUCGGCUGACCAGAGCUCCGCGCCACUUGCCUCUGGUGCUUCUGCAAAGAGCCUGCAGAAUGUUUUUCUUUGUAAAAGGUUAGAAACAACCCAGAGGCCCAUCAUGAAAGGACUGGAACAGAGCCAGUAGGUGGCAUGAUACUUAAGGUGCUGGACUUUCACAUGGC